AGCUUGCUUCUUUGCUGACGAGUGGCGGACGGGUGAGUAAUGCUUGGGAAUCUGGCUUAUGGAGGGGGAUAACUACUGGAAACGGUAGCUAAUACCGCGUAAUGUCUAAGGACUAAAGGGUGGGACCAUUUGGCCACCUGCCAUAAGAUGAGCCCAAGUGGGAUUAGGUAGUUGGUGAGGUAAAGGCUCACCAAGCCCGCGAUCUCUAGCUGGUCUGAGAGGAUAACCAGCCACACUGGAACUGAGACACGGUCCAGACUCCUACGGGAGGCAGCAGUGGGGAAUAUUGCACAAUGGGGGGAACCCUGAUGCAGCCAUGCCGCGUGAAUGAAGAAGGCCUUCGGGUUGUAAAGUUCUUUCGGUGACGAGGAAGGCGAUUGUUUUAAUAGAACAGUCGAUUGACGUUAAUCACAGAAGAAGCACCGGCUAACUCCGUGCCAGCAGCCGCGGUAAUACGGGGGGUGCGAGCGUUAAUCGGAAUAACUGGGCGUAAAGGGCACGCAGGCGGUUGUUUAAGUGAGGUGUGAAAGCCCCGGGCUUAACCUGGGAAUUGCAUUUCAGACUGGACAACUAGAGUACUUUAGGGAGGGGUAGAAUUCCACGUGUAGCGGUGAAAUGCGUAGAGAUGUGGAGGAAUACCGAAGGCGAAGGCAGCCCCUUGGGA
rnacentral:rRNA from 1 species